CAGCCGUAAACAAUGUGCGUUAGGUGUGUCGGUAACCACGUGUUACUGAUGCGCCGAAGAGAAAUCGUGAAACGCACCACCUGGGAAGUACGGUCGCAAGGCUGAAACUUAAAGGAAUUGGCGGGGGAGCACCACAACAGGUGGAGCCUGCGGUUUAAUUGGAUUCAACGCCGGACAUCUCACCGGAUAAGACAGCUGGAUGAUUGUCAAUCUGAAGGUUUUACAUGACUAGCUGAGAGGAGGUGCAUGGGC
rnacentral:rRNA from 1 species